rnacentral:rRNA from 1 species
AUUGAACGCUGGCGGCAUGCUUUACACAUGCAAGUCGAACGGUAACAGGGAGCUUGCUCCGCUGACGAGUGGCGAACGGGUGAGUAAUGCAUCGGAACGUACCCAGUCGUGGGGGGAUAACGUAGCGAAAGUUACGCUAAUACCGCAUACGUCCUGAGGGAGAAAGCGGGGGACCGAAAGGCCUCGCGCGAUUGGAGCGGCCGAUGUCGGAUUAGCUAGUUGGUAGGGUAAAGGCCUACCAAGGCAACGAUCCGUAGCGGGUCUGAGAGGAUGAUCCGCCACACUGGGACUGAGACACGGUCCAGACUCCUACGGGAGGCAGCAGUGGGGAAUUUUGGACAAUGGCGCAAGCCUGAUCCAGCCAUGCCGCGUGAGUGAAGAAGGCCUCGG